GAAAUUUGCCUUAAACCUUGGCAAGAGAACUUUGUUCUGUUUGAACUUUGUUUAAAGCCUCAGAAUCUGAUAGGAAAAAAAAUGCAAGGACUGUUCUGACAUACAUUAAUGCAGUUCAGUUAGAGGGAUGGAAGGAAGACAUAAAGGAGGAGGAUUCUGCAGUCUCAGGAGAGGGGGUGUGGAGUGGGGACCCUCUGAAGACAACGUGCUCCUCUCGAGAAUUUCUGCCAGUACAAGAACAGGCGAGGGGACUGGCCUUCACACACCUUAGCAGGGCAGGAGAGCCCGCAUGACUUCCACGCGCUCUUGGCUGCCUCCAGUAGAGCACUGACUCCGAGCUAUCUAUUUGCCUGUCAGGUUCAUCGCUAGAUUGUGAGCCCCUGCUAACCUGGGGCCAUGUCUUAUUCAACUUUUAUAUCCUCCGUGUCAAGAAUGUUGUUCAAGCUGAC
rnacentral:lncRNA from 1 species